rnacentral:lncRNA from 1 species
CAAUGAUUCAUUCUUUUUUAAAUAGAACAAUACAUAUAGGCAGAAGCCCCUGCGUACCUCCUCCAUCUCAUUCUGUCUCCCUCCCCAGUGGCAAUCACUGUGCUGAGAAUGUUGUAUAUCAUGUCCAUGCAUGUCCUUAUAUGCAUACCCAUAAAUAAUAUUUUCUUUUGCAUGUUUAGACAUAUCAUGGAAUGGAAUCAUAGUUGUACCUCUCAUUGUGCACCUUUCUCCUCUCUCAAAAUUAUACUCUCAAGAUUUAUCCAUUUGGUCAAUCGCUAGAUAAUUUUCACUGCUCAUUGUAUGACUGACCCAUAUUUGUUUUUACAUUCCUUAGUGAGAGAGGUUAUUUCUACUUUAACGGCCUUACAGAGCAGCAAUGAACAUCAUGUGCAAUGGAUUCACCAAGCAGAUUCCCAAAAGUGAAUUUGCUGCGAAAUCUGCAACUUUGUUAGCUAUUACCAAAUUGCUCUCUGGGUUGAUUGCAUCAAGGUACCAAUUUAGACUCCCAUUGGCAGUAUACGUAGUUUGAGGGUCCCCGUGGACUAAUGUCUGAUUCAUGCAUGAGAAAUCUGAACCGAGAGAGGCUAGCCGAGGCAGCUUGGGGUGGAGGUGGGAGGCGGAGAAUAAUGGCUGCAGAGGGAUCAGCUUGCAUACACAGAAUUUGCCAGCACAAAGAACGUGCAGGUGUUUCCCAUGGAGCAGAUGUGGACCACCAUGAGACAGCUUAGGUCCUGCCCAACAGGCCUGGGAGGAAGGCAAUGAACUUCAGCACUGAGAACCUCAAAGAGUCACCAAAUUCCUAGAGGCUGAAAAAGGAGUACACAUUUGCCUUGCCAGAGGAACCUCAGAUGGAUUCUCGCUCUGUCGCCCAGGCUGGCGUGAUCUCGGCUCACUGCAACCUUUGCCUCCUGCCUCCUGGGUUCAAGCAGUUCUCCCUGACUCAGCCUCCGAGUGGCUGGGAUUACAGGCACCAGCCACCACACCCGGCUAAUUUUUAUAUUUUUAGUAGAGAUGCAGUUUCUCCAUGUUGGCCAGGCUAGUCUUGAACUCCUGACCUUAGGUGAUCCACCCGCCUUGGCCUCCCAAAGUGUUGGGAUUACUGGCGUGAGCCCCCGCCCCCGGCCUAAAAACACCAUUU